CACCGCCCGUCGCUACUACCGAUUGGAUGACUUAGUGAGGUCUUAGGACCGAAGUAAAGGAGCUUUAACGAGUUCUUUUGCUUUGGAAAUUUGAUCAAACUACGUUAUCUAGAGGAAGUAAAAGUCGUAACAAGGUUUCCGUAGGUGAACCUGCGGAAGG
rnacentral:rRNA from 1 species